CUUUUCGGACUCAGCCCACCCACACCCAGGUGAUUAAAAGCUUUAUUGCUCACACAAAGCCUGUUUAGUGUUCUCUUCAUACGGAUGUGCAUGAAAUUUGGUGCCAUGACUCGGAUCGGGGGACCUCCCUUGGGAGAUCAAUCCCCUGUCCUCCUGUUCUUUGCUCUGUGAGAAAGAUCCACCUACGACCUCAGGUCCUCAGACCCACCAGCCCAAGAAACGUCUCACCAAUUUCAAAUCCGGUAAGCGGCCUCUUUAUACUCUCUUCUCCAACCUCCCUCACUAUCUCUCACCUUCUUUCUCCUUUCAAUCUUGGCAUCACACUUCAAUCUCUCCCUUCUCUUAAUUUCAGUUCCUUUCAUUUUCUGGUAGAGACAAAGGAGACGUGUUUUAUCUGCGGACCCAAAACUCCGGCGCCAGUCAUGGACUAGGGAAGGCAGCCUUCCUUUGGUGUUUAAUCAUUGCAGGGACACCUCUCUAAUUACUCACCCACGUUUCAGAGGUGUCAGACCACGCAGGGACGCCUGCCUUGGUCCUUCACCCUUAGUGGCAAGUCCUGCUUUUCUAGGGGAGGGGCCAGUACCCCAACCCCUUCUCUCUGUGUCUCUACCCCUUCUCUGCUUUUCUGGGGGAGAGACAAGAACCCCUCAACCCCUUCUCCUUCACCCUUAGCAGCAAGUCUCGUUUUUCUGGGGGAGGGACAAGUACCCCAACCUUGUAUCUCUUCACCCCGAUCCCUUAUUUCUGUGCUCUGACAUCUUGUAUCUCUGUGCCCCGAUCCCUUAUUUCCAUGCCCCAACCUCUUAUCUCUGUGCCUCAACCCCUUAUUUCUGCACCGCGACCCCUUUCCCACUUUUCUGGAAGAUAAGAAUCCCCGAACCCCUUCCCUCC
rnacentral:lncRNA from 1 species